UGUAUUAAAAAAGAUAAGGAUUAUGGAUUCUGAAGACCAUAAUAAUAAGGUAUUGUGGCUGUGUAAUUUUUGUACGUUUUAGGUCUGCAUUGAUUUUCAAAUUGUAAAUGUCUUAAACGUUUUAUAAAUGGAUUUGAUAUUACAAUAACGUUACAACUCCUAAUUUAAUUGUACAAUGCAUGCAAUUAUUUUAAAACUUUUCAUUUUUAAAAGUUUUCAUUGUAGUUAAUGCCUUUUUCUGCGUAAUCCAUAAUGUAAUGUAAUGUAAUGUAAUUGAAACAUUUGUUUUUUUUAAUAUCAUAAUUAUUUUAUAAAAUGUAUUACUCAUAACAAUCAGUGAAAUAAAUGUGAAACGCAUGUUAUUGUGUUUUAGGUUCACUUAUCAGUGAAAGAUAUUUUUUGAUGUUCCACAUGACUAUGAUCACAGCUUCUGCUGUAAUGUAUAAAGUUCUUAAUUUACAAGUUGUUGUGUGUUUAUCACAUCAAUUAAUAAUUUAUGGUGUGUUUGAUUUCAUUGCUAGGACAAUGCAGGACAAAGGCUGUCAAAUAACUGGAGUGUUUGUCUUGAUGGCAAUAUGCACUGUAUGUUAUUCUGGGACAGAAGUUUGACUUCACUGAAGUAAACAUGAAGAACAUAGGAAAAUGGUGGUGUGCCAUCUUGCUUGAAAAUUAAGUAAGUGUGAAAAAAUUAGCUGUACUUUUAACGUGGUGUUUUAAGAAACUCUUAAAGAAGUGAAGAAAUCUUGUUCAGUCUGUAAACUGUUUUGGGAAGACAUGGAACGGAAUGAUUUAGUGACUCGCUCAUAACACUAUUUCAGUAAAAAUAUAUUCUGCAGACCCUUUGAGUAAAAAGAAGUAGCAAAGUGUUUCAGUGAUGAUAAAAAUCAGCAGGUGUAAACACUACUUGCUCUAUCAAACUCCUUUAAUAGCUGUUCUUAAUACUAUUAGGGGUUGGCAAGAUUUUGAAAUGUUUUUGUAUUCAAAUGUUGUUGUAUUCAUUGGUGAAUAAUUUAAAAUUGGACCAUUAAUUAGAUUUUUUUCUAUAUUUACAAAAGUCUUUACUGUAAUUUGUAAUCAAUGUAAUGCAUCCUUGCAUUUAAUUAAUUUUGAUAUUGAACUUGUUCUAUUUCUUACUUUAUUUGUUUUUGUUGCAUGAUAAUCAAAUUGUGCAAGACAUGGGAGAAAGAGAAAAUGAGCUGUUGUAGCUGGUAUUGUCAGCUUUUUAUAUUUUGCUGAUAUUUUUUGUCAAAUAAAAAAUUAAUGGAUAAUUUUAUCACGUUUUAAUUCUAAUUCUCUUUCAGAAGAAGAAGAAGAAUGCUCUGCACUCCCUGAAACCUACGGGAAGAAAAAAAAUGAACUUGCAUAUGAAACAGACCAAACCGCAGUUGUGCCCUUUGUUUUUAGCAAGGAUGAGCUGUUAAAAGAUGAUGACCCUCCAUCAAGCUUUAUCUUCAAGGUAGUUGAAUGUUAUAUAAUGUGCUUUUUUUAAAAAUGUAACGGCCUGUGCUAACUUUUCAGUUAUCAGGAGCGUUGCUGAAGAACAUAGUUGUUCUUCAAGAAGAAGAUGCUGCCUACACGACCCUGUCAUUGGCUUGCUCAAGGUUCAGGGACAUAGUUGGUGAUGACAAGUUCAAGAAUCAGGCACACUUCUUAUGGCUAGAAAGUAAAUAUUGACAUUAAAAAAUAAAAUGCAUAACAAGAACAUCAUUGAUAAUGUUAUGUGAUUUUUUCACCUCGGGUGUUACAUGCUGGAAAAAAGACAUCUCACUACAAACAGCUCUUCUGGAAGAUGUACUCAUUCUCCACUUGUUUGGAGUGUGGGUUUGAGUACAAAUGCUGCACACCUGGUACUUUUUGUGUAAAUUGGUGAUGAAUAAACUAGUUGUUAGUCUAGAGGAAAACUAAAAAUCUAAUUUACUUAUGUCAUCCCUUGGAGUUUAAAAGUUCUGGACACCAUUCAAUUGACCUACAGAACUGAGAAAUUAUUCCUAAUGUUUGUAAAUGUUCACUGGCAACUAU